UACGUAGGGUGCGAGCGUUGCCCGGAUUUAUUGGGCGUAAAGGGCGCGUAGGCGGCUACGCACGUCCGUUGUGAAAUCGCUCGGCUCAACUGGGCGGGGUCAGCGGAUACGGGUGUAGCUGGAGCAAGCUAGGGGGCAAUGGAAUUCCCGGUGUAGUGGUGGGAAUGCGUAGAUAUCAGGAGGAACACCGGUGGCGGAAGGCGGCUCUCUGGGCCUGUACUGACGUGAGGAGCGAAAAGCGUGGGGAGCAAACAGG
rnacentral:rRNA from 1 species